CCAUGUUUAUCAAAAUUCGGCCUAACGUCCAAAGUGAAUAAUUUUUUGUUAGAAAUAUCCUCUAACAUGUUCUUUUCCUAUAAUGUACUGGUUUUUAUACGUAGAGUUCGUGAAAGAACACUAUUUUUAGGUUUACAUUACUAGUAUAAAUCCUAUAAUUUGCUCUACUUUUUAAGAUUGCGUCAUACAACGUCGCUAUAUAUUAUUAGAAGUGGUAACGUAUUGUAAAACAUAAUUAUGCAAUGAGUGGUUUAAUAUAUAAUAAGAUCUUGAAAAAGAAAUUUUCUCUCCCAAUACGCAAUAAGGUUAUUUUACUUAUAGCCCGAAUGGCACACCAUAUUUUUCAAUCUCCUUCAUUCGGCCAUUUUCACACACCGCGCCGUUAGCCUGUUUGCGCUGUUCGUGGAAGUUGCAGAGGAUGUACUCAUCGCAUUUCAACGAUGAUAUAAUAUGUACAGCAAAAAUUGAUGGCAAGGGUGACAUGAAUCAGAUUGACAAGAAUCCAUAUAAUGCUAUCAUCACUGCCAUCAGAUUCAUACAUAGCUUCCUUGUUGUGCCUGCCAAUAGCAAGGUACCAGAUUAUACAGCAGUUAUGUGGAAACAGAUUCCCACAAUAGGGGGACCAGAUUGACACCUACAUUGUACAGAAUUAGGCAGUUAUAUCAGAACUGGAAAAACUGGAUCCAAACAAGACUAUAUUGCUUGGAAGAAACAUGUCGACUCUGAAGUUUACCCUUAAUUUCACAUUACCAUUACUCCUAUUUUGAAAUAUAAUGUAUUACAUUACUUGAGAGAGAAUUUACAUUACACAUUUACAUAACAUACUGUCAGAUAUUAAAGAAAUGGCAGAAAAAUUAUUUCUGUAUUAUGAUUUUUAAUUAUACAUUAACAUAAGUACACAAAAUAUUCAGCAAUGUUAGGAAACAUAUCUAUUAAGUUAUUCAUUGCAUUUGAUUGUCAUCAAUGUUUCAAAUGCUUCAGUCAAUCUCACUAAUAAAAUGAAUUAUUCUAAAUCUUCAAAAUAUCAUCAAAUAUUUGAAGUAGUGUAAAUGUAAUGAAAAAUAAUGUGCAGUACAGUAUGCAUUACAUUAACAUUACUUGUAAUGCAAAAAUGGUCCAUUACACCCGCAUUACAUUGAAACUGGCUGUCAUUUAAUUACCAUUACCACAGGCCUGGUUCUGUCGAGAGGUAUUGAAAUUGUCUGUAGAGACUUUGUCUCAGGAAGUGGUCGAGAUUGGUGGUGACAAUUUUGUUGGAUGUGAAUUUACUGACACACAUGUCUACACUUGCUACACAAUAUAUCAUGUGGUGGUUUCAACAAGAAAGUUCUUACUCUGCAGGAAAUGACGAACAGCUAAUGGAUUCACAUUUUUUCUGAUUUUUCUUCUGUACAUUAGAUGCAUUGGAAAAACUUUUCUUUCCAUUAUCUUUUGCUGGUUCAUACUUUGAAAUAAAAUCAAGUCCGAAAAUAAA